UACGGAGGGUGCAAGCGUUAGUCGGAAUUACUGGGCGUAAAGGGCGCGUAGGCGGGAAUGUAAGUCAGACGUGAAAUUCCGGGGCUCAACCUCGGAGCUGCGUCUGAAACUAUGUUUCUAGAGGAAUGGCGGAGAAAACGGAAUUCCACAUGUAGCGGUGAAAUGCGUAGAUAUGUGGAGGUACACCUGUGGCGAAAGCGGUUUUCUAGCUUAUUCCUGACGCUGAGGCGCGAAAGCAAGGGGAGCAAACAGG
rnacentral:rRNA from 1 species